CUGAGAGAAGUUAGUAAAAAAAGACAGAGACUGAAGAAUAUAAAUAAAAAUGAGGAGGAAGAAGUAGAAGUUAAAUAUAAUGAGCAGCAAGAAAGUUUGUAAGCAGAAGAGAAGAGGAAGAGAAGGGUGCUGGCUGCACAACAGAUAUAUCCCAGGGAUCCUGGCAUUAUAUUUCUCGUUAUAAAAUUUGCCUUCUUGUGUAAUGUGUUUCCAGAGAGUUUUGAUUGCUGGUAUAUCCCUCUUCUGCUCCUUCCGGAAGGUACACUUCAUCUUCAUCUGAUCAACAAAUUAAGCUUCCAAGAUGAAAGAGUUUCAGGGCUCGAACCUUGGAGAAAUCAUCAAAGCCAAGGCCACUUUGUUUCCCUGAUGACACCUCUGGUCCCUCAGCAUGUCCUUCUCUUUCAGACAUUUACGGUUACAUGUGAUCAUGAUUAAUAUUUUACUCGCGUUUUUUUUUUAAUGUUUGUUUAUUUUUGAGAGACAGAGAGAGACAGAGCAGGAGCGGGGGAGGGGCAGAGACAGAGGGAGACACAGAAUCCGAAGCAGCCUCCAGGUUCCGAGCCGGCAGCACAGAGCGUGACGCGGGGCUCGAACCCACGAACUGCAAGGUCAUGACCUGAGCCCAAGUUGACUGCCUAACCGCCUGAGCCACCCAGGCGCCCCACUCAUAGUUCUUUUACACUCUCAGUUCAGGGAUGUGAUUAAAGUUAGCUGACUCCUAGAGCAUCCUUGUCUAAGAACAGUUCUUUCCUGGUUCAAAUGGCUCCUCACAUCUCUCUGUGCUGGUCCCAUCUCAACCCUGGAAGCACAGUCAGUAUUCUUCCCCGUCGCCAUGAAACGUCCCUUAGAAAGAACACUUCCUUUUGACUUGUUCAUUAUUCUUGCACCCCUCAGAUGUCCACUUCAGCUGCUCUCACAUCUCUGGGAAGGUGAUUCCCGUCCUCUGCUUCCUCUGCGUCUGCUUUCGGGCCCAUCAGAAACUUUUGGAACUCAUUUUUGGAAAGAUGUCCAGAAUCCGCAACAUGCUCCUUGA
rnacentral:lncRNA from 1 species